rnacentral:tRNA from 1 species
ACUCUUUUAGUAUAACUAGUACAAUUGACUUCCAAUCAAUCAGUUUUGAUAUAAUUCAAAAAGGAGUA